rnacentral:rRNA from 1 species
AUGCAAGUGGAGCGACGAACCAGGCUUCGGCCUGGGGCAAAGCCGCGAACGGGUGAGUAACACGUGGGUAACCUGCCCCGAUGAUUGGGACAACCCGAGGAAACUCGGGCUAAUACCGAAUGUGCCCUCCGACCACAAGGUCGCUGGGGAAAGGUAGCUUCGGCUUCCGCAUCGGGAUGGGCCCGCGGCCCAUUAGCUUGUUGGUGAGGUAACGGCUUACCAAGGCGACGAUGGGUAGCUGGUCUGAGAGGACGAUCAGCCACACUGGGACUGAGACACGGCUCAGACUCCUACGGGAGGCAGCAGUGGGGAAUCUUGCGCAAUGCGCGAAAGCGUGACGCAGCAACGCCGCGUGGGGGAAGAAGGCCUUCGGGUUGUAAACCCCUUUCAGUUGGGACGAAGCUCCGUCGGUUAAUAGCCGGCUGGGGUGACGGUACCUUCAGAAGAAGCCCCGGAUAACUACGUGCCAGCAGCCGCGGUAAUACGUAGGGGGCUAGCGUUGUCCGGAAUCAUUGGGCGUCAAGAGCGUGUAGGCGG